UGUAUAUUUUCCUUCUUCUUUUUUUGUGUGUAUGUUGCUGAGGAUUGAACUCAGGGCUUUGUGCCUGCAAGACAAGCACUCUACUCCAACUGAACUAUAUCCCCACCCCUAUUUUCCUACUUCUUGAUGACUAAAGGAUUGGCAAAUUGGGCAGAAAAAGACAAAGUAACUUAACCUAAGGGCACCCCGUCAAUGCUGGAGAUCAGACGAUCAAGCUUCAGCAAAGAAUUCCUGUCACAACAUUAAAGAAAUAUGGACAGUCUUCAGCGUUGCAAUUGAUAAUGAACAAAUAUGAAAAUAAAACCAUGGCUAAUCACAAAAGACAGAGAAAGAAAUUAGGAUUUUGGAAAGGAGGAAAAUCAGUAAGUAGUCACUUACGUAGGAGUAGCACGGUUGGAACAAUGCCAUCAGUCCAACUUGACCAUCCUUUAAGUCUGGCAUAUAAAUGACACCUCUCUGUAGGUUCACCAUACUGGAUUCCUUUGAAUGAUUUGACCUAAUAUGAACAUGAUACCUCUUUUCUACUCUCUCAAAUCUUCCAGCUCUAUUUUUACUGAUCAUUAUUCAGCUUUCAUCUGGGUUAGCCUCUUAUGUGCUACAUAUGUAUCUUUAUAUCCAUGACCUCACUCCUAGGAAUAUAUUUGUGAGAGAACAGGAUAAAUUGCAGUCCUGAUGUGAACUGCCUCCCAGGGUGGCAUGCCUACAUGCUUUGCCUUGGGCUAAUGGGCAGGACUUGAACAGAUGUGAUAGAAACUCUCACUGCUGUUUUAUCAGUUAAUGUUGAUUGACUGUAAUACUAUAGUGGCUGCUAGAAGAAAUUUGCAAAGGAAAAAAUGCCUCUUGAGAGUAGUAAUAUUUAUAUGCCUUAGACUUGCACAAAGAAAUUUUGAAAGAAGGAAUGGUUACUGAAAGUGGCCUCCUACUUUGCAUAUCCUUUUAAACUUGUUUGUAAAAUUUUAAUUGUACAAACUUAUGGUGUACAGUGUCAUAAUUAAAUAUGUGUAUAAGUGUGUAAUGAUCAAAUCAGGAUGGUUAACAUUUUCUUUUUCUUAAAAAAACUUUUGUAGUUCAUAUAUAAUAAUUGCACAUAUUUGUGAAGUUUAUAUGUCUUCAUAUACUGUCAAAAUGACUAACUUUGUCUUUUUCUGUGGGAAAGAAGUUGGGUUACACUUAGGUAGAAACCAUUAUUGAAGGAGUAAAUGUGAUAUAAAUCAAUAGGAAUGAACUUUGGAGUUAGGAAGGCUAACUCUGAAUCAGUCAUUGGGAAAUCCCAGACAAACUUCUUUGAGACAUUUGUGAUUAGGUGUCUAAAACUAAGGCUAUGAAUUUCUUCAUAAGAUAGUUUUGAAUAUUUGAAGAAAAAAUUACAUUAAAGACAGAAUAGGUUCUCAAAGGCAUUAGUUGAUCAAUUAAUGCUUAAAUAUGUUUUUGUCUAGAUGAAAAUAUAUUCACUCUUUUUUAUAAAUAUAAUUCUGACCUUUGUUAAUGUAUUGAAACUAUUGCUACAUCUCAAUGUGAGGGCUUCAUUCAUUCAUUCAUUCAUUCAUUCAUUCAUUCAUCUUGCAAAUUAAUGCAUAUGUGUGUACACAAAGAAAAGUGUGUUCAUGGCUGCUCACUCCCACAUUCACCUUUAGAUUCUGAUACUUUGUGAAAUUUCUGAAGCCCAUUUAGUUUUUCUCCAUGUUUAUGAAUCACAGAAUAAGCAACUUUGAUUUAGAGUCUCUAUCUCAUGACAUUUGUUUGGAUGAUUAACUUGAUAUAGCAGCCACUAACAAUGCAAUCUGCCAAAUGGUUCUGCAUUCCUUUGUCUGCUCUGAGUAGGUCCAUGUUGGCUAAAGAAUCAGGAAAGAAAUUUCUAAAAUUUGAUUUUCUUUUGUAAAAGCAGGUUGGCUAUAUUCCAAGGGAGCAAAGCCAGAUUGUCUUUGGAAAUUGAAACUAAAACUCUGCUCUUGUGAUCAGAGACCUGAGUGCUAUGAUUCAUUAAUACUAUUUUGAUAUCCAGUACUUGAAAAAUACUCUGUAUGAACAAUUGGGGAGUCUAGCAAAAUAGUUUUGACAUUUUGCUAACAUUAGUGCUUCAACACUGAACCAUCUGCUAGAGAGUUCCAAGUCUGAAUGAAAGGUGUAAACCUGGAUUAGCAUCGAUAUGGUUUUUUAUCAAGUUUGGCUUAUUCUCAUCUCACUGGAUGUUUUCCAGGUCCCUUUGGAAGCCAAGAUUGCCAUUGUAGAGUGCAGUGCCAUAUGUUAAGAUUCAUAUGACAUAUUACCUAAAAGUCAUGAAUUAUUAUACCGUGUCUCUUUACGGAGCUGUGAUUAGAAAUGUUUAUGUAAAUGUACCUCCAAAGAAAAAUGGUACCCAGUGUUGGGCAACAGUUUGCAUGGUAGCACUGAGAUUCCCUGCCUCCAUCAGAGUGUAUCUCAAAGACAGUCUAAUCCUGGGAUAAUGAAAAACCAAUACCUUUUUCUAAAUGCACUGAUUUUGGACAGGGGAGAACAGAUUAGAGAGCUAUUAGGAAUAAGCCAAUAACUUCCUUUACAAAGCAAUAAAAUCACUAAGAAAAGUGAAAUGACUCUAAAGCUAACCAAAAUGUCUGUGUUUAAGGGAAAAUUUUUUUUUAAAUGGAAAAAUAACAUGUCAUGUUACUAAAAAAAUGAAUGUCAAUGUUUUUUUCAGUUUAAUAUUUAAAAACAUAUGUGUAUAUACACAUAUAUAUGCACACAUGAACAAUUAUUUAUCCACACACACAAACAUAUGCAUUAUAAUUUCUAAUUGGUAAUUAGAUAAUAUAGGCUACAAAUGGAACUUGACAUCUUUUUCUCAUGUUAUUAAAGAAGUGAAUUAGUAGAGCUCAUCUUGAGAUCUGAAAACAUACAUACAUAGUACUUUGGUUUUUAAGGGCUUUGAACUGCUAGCUCUUAUCUUUAUGUACAGGUAGAAGAGAAGUAUUUUAAGCUAGAAGCAAUAGACUUGCACAGCUUCAACUCUGUUCUCUUACUCUAGCUCCUCUCCUAGAAAUUUGUUAUUGGUUAAUACAUAAAUGUUAGACUAAACUUGGGUAGAAGGGAUAUUUCUGUUUUCUAAUGUUUUACAGUCUGUUUUCUAACUAAUGUUCUUAGAUACUGUGUAUUUUUGUAUUUUUCUUAUAAUAUCUGGAAACACAACAUUAUGACACUUUGUAAUAAAUCAUUUUUUGAUUAA